UACAGAGGGGGCAAGCGUUGUUCGGAAUUACUGGGCGUAAAGGGCGCGUAGGCGGCCUGCUAAGUCGAACGUGAAAUCCCCGGGUUCAACCCGGGAACUGCGUCCGAUACUGGCAGGCUUGAAUCCGGGAGAGGGAUGUGGAAUUCCAGGUGUAGCGGUGAAAUGCGUAGAUAUCUGGAGGAACACCGGUGGCGAAGGCGGCAUCCUGGACCGGUAUUGACGCUGAUGCGCGAAAGCCAGGGGAGCAAACGGG
rnacentral:rRNA from 1 species